AGUGCGAUCGGUGGAUGCCUUGGCACCAAGAGCCGAUGAAGGACGUUGUGACCUGCGAUAAGCCCUGGGGAGUUGGUGAGCGAGCUGUGAUCCGGGGGUGUCCGAAUGGGGAAACCUGGAAUGUCCGGAGUAGUGUCCGGUGGCCCUGCCCUGAAUGUAUAGGGGUGUGGGUGGUAACGCGGGGAAGUGAAACAUCUUAGUACCCGUAGGAAGAGAAAACAAGUGUGAUUCCGUGAGUAGUGGCGAGCGAAAGCGGAGGAGGCUAAACCGUGUGUGUGUUCAAGCCGGCAGGUGUUGCAUGUGCGGGGUUGUGGGGGCCUUGUGGUUCUGCUGCCGCAGGAUUGGCCAGUGAGAAAUGUUGCGUGAAGGUGAAGCGUCUGGGAAGGCGUACCGGAGUGGGUGAGAGUCCUGUAACUGUAAGCGUGGCACUGGUGUGGGGUUGCCCCGAGUAGCGUGGGACUCGUGGAAUUUCGCGUGAAUCUGGCGGGACCACCCGUCAAGCCUAAAUACUCCUUGGUGACCGAUAGUGGAUGAGUACCGUGAGGGAAGGGUGAAAAGUACCCCGGGAGGGGAGUGAAAGAGUUCCUGAAACCGGUCGCAUGCAAGCCGUCAGAGCCUGUGUGGUGAUGGCGUGCCUUUUGAAGAAUGAGCCUGCGAGUUAGUGAUGCGUGGCGAGGUUAACCCGUGGUGGGGGAGUCGUAGCGAAAGCGAGUCCGAUAAGGGCGUGAGUCGCGUGUUCUAGACCCGAAGCGGUGUGAUCUAUCCAUGGCCAGGAUGAAGCGUCGGUAAGACGUCGUGGAGGUCCGAACCCACUUCAGUUGAAAAUGGAGGGGAUGAGUUGUGGAUAGGGGUGAAAGGCCAAUCAAACACCGUGAUAGCUGGUUCUCCCCGAAAUGCAUUUAGGUGCAGCGUUGCGUGGUUCUUGUUGGAGGUAGAGCACUGGAUGGUCUAGGGGGCUUAUCGGCUUACCGAAAUCAGCCAAACUCCGAAUGCUGGCAAGUGUAGCGUGGCAGUGAGACGGCGGGGGAUAAGCUUCGUCGUCGAGAGGGAAACAGCCCAGAUCAUCAGCUAAGGCCCCUAAGUGGUGACUCAGUGGGAAAGGAUGUGGAGUUGCGUAGACAACCAGGAGGUUGGCUUGGAAGCAGCCAUCCUUGAAAGAGUGCGUAAUAGCUCACUGGUCAAGUGAUUCCGCGCCGAUAAUGUAGCGGGGCUUAAGUUAUCCGCCGAAGCUGUGGCAACCUGUGUGGUUGGGUAGGGGAGCGUCGUGUCAGUGGUGAAGCUGCCGGGUGACUGUGUGGUGGAGUUGAUGCGAGUGAGAAUGCAGGCAUGAGUAGCGUGUGACGGGUGGGAAUCCCGUCCGCCGAUUAUCCAAGGGUUCCAGGGUCAAGUUUGUCUGCCCUGGGUGAGUCGGGUCCUAAGGCGAGGCCGACAGGCGUAGUCGAUGGGUAACCAGUUGAUAUUCUGGUACCGGCUUGUCACCGUCCGUGUCGAGGUGUGUGAUGCUAAGCAUGUGAGCUUGUCUUGGGAGUGUUUUUGAUGCUUCUGGGGUGGGUGAGUGUGUGAACCGAUCAUGUAGUAGGCAAGCUGCGGAGGGACGCAGUGAGGUAGCUCAUCCCCGGUGAUGGUUGUCCGGGGCUAAGUGUGUGGACUGUCUGGUAGGUAAAUCCGCUGGGCGUGAAGGUUGAGGCAUGAUGGGGAGCCCAUGGUUGUGGGUGAGUGAGUGAUCCUGUACUGUCGAGAAAAGCUUCGUGAGCGAGGUGGCGGGUCCGCCCGUACCCUAAACCGACACUGGUGGAUAGGUAGAGUAUACCGAGGCGAUCGAGUGAAUCGUGGUGAAGGAACUCGGCAAAAUGCCCCCGUAACUUUGGGAUAAGGGGGACCUGAGCUGUCGUGCACCCGUGCGGUGUGGUGGCGGUGAGGGGCGCAGAGUCCAGGGGGAAACGACUGUUUACCAAAAACACAGGUCCGUGCGAAGUCGUAAGACGAUGUAUACGGACUGACUCCUGCCCGGUGCUGGAAGGUUAAGGGGAACUGUGAGUGUAUGCGUAGCGGUGAACUUAAGCCCCAGUAAACGGCGGUGGUAACUAUAACCAUCCUAAGGUAGCGAAAUUCCUUGUCGGGUAAGUUCCGACCUGCACGAAUGGAGUAACGAUUUCCCUACUGUCUCCACCAUGAACUCGGUGAAAUUGCAUUACGAGUAAAGAUGCUCGUUACGCGCAGCAGGACGGAAAGACCCCGGGACCUUUACUAUAGUUUGGUAUUGGUGAUUGGGACGGUUUGUGUAGGAUAGGUGGGAGACGUUGAUGCGGCCACGCUAGUGGUGGUGGAGUCGUUGGUGAAAUACCACUCUGAUUGUUCUGGUUAUCUCACUGUGGACCGUGAUCCGGUUCAAGGACAGUGCCUGAUGGGUAGUUUGACUGGGGCGG
rnacentral:rRNA from 1 species